AAAAGAGAAAAAGAAAAAUUAUUCCCAUGGCCAUCAUCUACAAUUCACAUUUUCAAUUCCCAUUCGCAUUGACUUGGAAAUUCGAAGUGGCGUCCACGUGAGACCACCACGCUUGCUCUGAUCACUUUGCGUUGAAAGUGCGUGCAUGAAAAUGGCACUUCGCAGCUUUACGCCUUGAAAGAAACCCUCUCUCUCUCCCUCUCUGCAAAACCGAAGCAGCAGGAGAUGGACGAUAUCACGAACCUGAUCUGCCCUAAUUCUCCCUCCGUGUGGGACGGGAAUGGACUUUCCAAGUGCUACGGCAACAUUCUGUUAGCUUUUGGUCCUAAUAUAGUCACUCUUGCUGUGAUUUUCGUACUCGGAAUCACUCCAAGGACCGGCAGAAGAACCUGGAGGAUGAACUUUUCCGAGAGGUUUUUCUUGCACGUGCUUCCUGCCGUCGGAGCUUGUUCAGCAUUUUUCGACAUUGCUUUACUUUUAAAGAAAGGUCGUGGUGGUGUCUUGGUUGCAAAACAUGAAUGGUUGUUCAGAUGUUCCCAGUUUGCUGUCUGGACAGUUGUCAUACUCUUCUCAAGGUGUUUCAAUGCUUGCCAUAUUUUUGGCAAUCGCAUCUUGUGUUUCUGGUGGCUUGUAAAAAUACUUUUGGCAACACUUCAUUUGUUCACAACAUAUCCUUCAUUCAAGGUCUUGUUAUCUCUUAAGGAGAUUGGUACUGUUUCAUUGGACGUCGUUUUUGGUAUAUCAAUUAACAUCAUCAGAAUGAAGAGGGCAUCAUCCAACAGAAGUUCAAUGGAAGAUUCACUACUUUCUGCUGACAUGGACCUCGAGGAAGGUUCUCUCAAGGACUCUGGCGACAAUCAGAGCUAUUUCAAUCUUAUGACAUUCAGAUCGAUCACUUCUGUGAUGAGUCAUGGUGUCACAAAGCAGCUUGAAUUUGAAGAUUUGCUUCAACUUCCCACUGAUAUGGACCCUUGUUCCUGUCAUGAUGCAUUAUUUAGCUGUUGGAAAUCCCAACAGAGUAGUUGCCCUGAUCCAUCCCUGUUUAGGGCAAUCUGUUCUGCAUAUGGAUGGCCAUACGUUCGUCUCGGCUUGUUAAAGGUACUUAAUGAUUCUGUUGGUUUUGCUGGACCGUUGCUUCUCAAUAAGCUAAUUCGCUUCCUUCAACAAGGUUCGCAGAAUUUGGAUGGCUAUGUUCUUGCUGUAUCCUUGGGCCUCAUAUCUAUCUUUAAAUCGUUUUUGGAUACACAAUAUACUUUUCAUCUUUCAAAAUUGAAGUUAAAGCUACGAUCUAGUAUCAUGACAGUUAUAUAUCAGAAGUGCCUCUGUGUCAACCUAGCAGAGCGAUCAAAGUUUACCGAGGGGGAAAUUCAGACAUUCAUGGCCAUAGACUCUGAUCGCAUUGUCAACUUAAGUAACACUCUCCAUGAUAUGUGGAGCUUGCCUUUACAAAUUGGGGUGGCUUUGUUCCUUUUGUAUACACAAGUCAAAUUUGCAUUUGUUUCUGGGCUUGCAAUUACCAUCGCAUUAAUACCAGUGAAUAAAUGGAUAUCUACAUUGAUUGCAAGAGCUACAGUGAAAAUGAUGAAGCAGAAGGAUGAGAGGAUCAGAAGGACGGGGGAACUUUUGACAUAUAUCCGCACUUUGAAAAUGUAUGGUUGGGAGCUCUUGUUUUCUAGCUGGUUGAUGGAGACAAGAUUAUCAGAAGUUAUGCACUUAACUACACGGAAGUACUUGGAUGCCUGGUGUGUAUUUUUUUGGGCCACAACACCAACUCUUUUUUCUCUUUGUACAUUUGGACUUUUCACAUUGAUGGGGCAUCAACUUGAUGCUGCAACGGUCUUCACUUGUGUUGCUCUGUUUAAUACUUUGAUAUCUCCUCUAAACUCAUUUCCGUGGGUCAUUAAUGGGUUAAUUGAUGCUGUCAUAUCUGUCAGACGGUUGAGCAGGUUCCUGUCUUGCUCUGAGCGCAAGUCAAAGCUGGAAAAGACAGCUGAUGCAUCUUCACCAUAUUUCUCCAAUGAUCAGUGUGAAUUUACCUUUGAAGAUAUGGCUGUUGUGUUUGAUGAUUCAUCUUGUUCCUGGUCAAGCAGCGAUGAAAAGGAAUUGAAUUUGGUGCUGAAUCAUGUAACUCUAGGUAUUCCAAAGGGUUCCUUCAUUGCAGUAAUUGGAGAGGUUGGUUCAGGUAAAUCAUCAUUGUUGAAUUCCAUAUUGGGGGAAAUGCAACUUGUCCAUGGAUCAGUAUAUUCUUGUGGAUCUAUAGCAUAUGUACCACAGGUCCCAUGGAUUCUGUCUGGAACAAUCCGUGACAAUAUACUGUUUGGAAAGCAAUAUGAUCCCAAAAGAUACACAGAUACUUUAGAGGCAAGUGCUUUAGACGUUGAUAUUUCAAUAAUGGUUGGAGGUGACAUGGCUUAUAUUGGAGAAAAAGGAGUCAACUUGUCAGGUGGACAGAGAGCUCGAAUUGCUCUGGCAAGGGCUAUUUAUAAUGGCUCCGAUAUGUUUAUUCUUGAUGAUGUCCUCAGUGCAGUUGAUGCAAGAGUUGCUCGUUGUAUUUUAUACAAUGCAAUUUUGGGUCCACUAAUGAAAAAGCAAACUCGUGUGCUUUGUACGCAUAACGUUCAGGCAAUAUCUUCUGCUGAUACAAUUGUGGUUAUGGAAAAAGGACAUGUAAAGUGGGUGGGACCUUCUGCUUGUUUGCCAGCUUCUUCAUAUUCAGCAUUCUCUCCACUGAAUGAAUUUGAUAAAUUCUUACUGAAUGAAGGAAAAGAGUGCAAUGUACCUGCAGAUUCUCUCACAAAAGACCAACAAAACCUUCCCUUAGAGAAAGAUAUUGUGCCUGCUUCAGAGGGAAGACAAGAUAUUAUUGAAGUUGAGGCACGGAAAGAGGGAAAAGUAGAACUUUCUGUCUACAAGAAUUAUGCCACGUUUACUGGUUGGUUCAUUUCGGUUGUAAUAUUUCUGUCAGCAAUCCUAAUGCAAGCUUCUCGUAAUGGAAAUGAUCUGUGGCUGUCAUAUUGGGUUGAUACAACAGGAAAGAGUCAGAAAGGAUACUCUACAUCCUUUUAUCUGGUAAUACUGUGCAUCUUUUGUACUGCAAAUUCAGUUCUUACAUUAGUGAGGGCCUUCUCAUUUGCAUAUGGCGGCGUACGAGCUGCAGUUAAGGUGCAUGAUACACUGCUGAAAAGGCUUAUCAAUGCACCUGUUCAAUUCUUUGAUCAGACACCAGGUGGAAGGAUACUAAACAGGCUAUCUUCAGAUCUAUACACAAUUGAUGAUUCUCUUCCCUUCAUUCUCAACAUUCUCCUAGCUAAUUUCGUUGGUCUUCUGGGAAUUGCAAUAGUUUUGUCAUAUGUUCAGGUCUUCUUCUUGCUUUUGCUAUUACCGUUUUGGUAUAUCUACACCAAACUUCAGUUCUUCUACAGGUCAACAUCUCGAGAAUUGCGAAGGCUGGACAGUGUGUCUCGGUCUCCCAUAUAUACAUCCUUCACAGAGACACUUGAUGGAUCAUCAACUAUACGGGCAUUUAAGUCUGAGGACUUCUUUUUGGCCAGAUUCACUGACCAGGUGAAAUUGUAUCAACAAACUUCCUACACAGAGUUAAAUGCAAGUUUGUGGCUUUCCCUACGUCUUCAGUUGUCAGCAGCAUUUAUCAUCUCAUUUGUUGCUAUUAUGGCUGUUCUUGGAUCUCAUGGUGGAUUACCAAUCGGUUUCAGUACCCCAGGGCUGGUUGGUUUGGCUCUAUCUUAUGCAGCUCCGGUUGUAAAUUUACUGGGAAGCUUUUUGACAAGUUUCACUGAAACAGAGAAGGAAAUGGUUUCCAUUGAAAGAGCUCUUGAGUAUAUGGAGGUUCCUCAAGAAGAAGUUGAUGGACUUCAAUCUUUAAACUGCAAUUGGCCAUUUCAAGGACGGAUUGAAUUCCAAAAUGUUACCUUGAGAUACAAGCCAUCUUUUCCAGCUGCACUUUGUGAUAUUAGUUUUACUAUUGACGGAGGGAUGCAGGUUGGUAUUGUUGGAAGGACAGGAGCUGGAAAAUCUAGUGUUUUGAAUGCCCUUUUCCGCCUCACACCAAUAUGCACAGGAUGUAUUCUUGUGGAUGAUAUAAACAUAGCUAAUGCUCCUAUCAGGGAUCUUCGUGGGCAUUUCUCUGUUGUUCCUCAGACUCCAUUUUUAUUUGAAGGAUCAUUAAGGGACAAUCUGGAUCCAUUCAGGCUGAGUGAUGACUAUAAAAUUUGGAAGGCUUUGGAGAGGUGCCAUGUCAAAGAGGAAGUAGAAGCAGCAGGAGGUUUAGAUAUUCACCUAAGCGAAUCUAGGAUGUCCUUUUCUGUAGGGCAACGGCAGCUUCUUUGCCUUGUACGUGCACUGCUCAAAUCUUCAAAGGUGCUUUGUUUGGAUGAAUGCACAGCUAAUGUGGACACUCAAACAGCAUCUACCUUACAAAAAACCAUAUCUAGUGAAUGCAGUGGCAUGACAGUUAUCACAAUUGCUCAUCGUAUUUCCACCAUUCUGAAUAUGGAUAAUGUCCUGAUCCUCGACCAUGGUAUCCUGGUUGAACAAGGAAAUCCGCAGGCUCUCCUACAAAAUGAGUUCUCCAGAUUUUCCAGUUUUGCUAAAGCAUCUACAAUGUGAUUACCCAACAACUCAACAAGUACUGCUGUUGUCAUUGCUGAGUUCUUGCAAUCAGCUAGUUUGACCUACAAUAGAAGCUAUAUUAUUGGGAUGAGUGACUCCCAACAUGAGCCAAAUUAGGAUCCUUCUCCGUAGGCACCAUUCAUUUCCCGUAAGGGAUGAUUUCUUCCCAUCGAAGAAGCAUGCGAUUUCAUUUUGGAGCCUGAAGAUGCGUUGGCCCUCAAAGCACCACCAUUCAGUCGGUUCUCUCUUCCUUCUCUGGCCGUUGAGCUAGCCGGAAUCAAUGUAAAAAUCGUAGGACCAAUCUCCCUAGUCAAUGUAAAGUUUAGAGGGUCCUUUGAUUCAACAGCCCUACCCCCCUCUUCAGGGGUGAGUCAUGAAAAUCAGUGCCUUGUCGCUUACCCAAAACAGGGAUAGCAAAACCUGGAGGGAUGUCUUUAUUCCGAGUCAAUAAGCUAAUGAUAGGAACUAUUCUCUCCCUGUAAGGGACGUCGCCUUUACUCUGUAAGAGAACUAAUAUCCCUUGUGCUGUCAAUGUGCUGCCCUUCUAAGUGUCUUGAUCGAGUUUCCAUCUUGCAACAAAGUGGUAAUUUUAUUUAUGUAUUUGGAAUUAUCUAGUUAUGUAAUUAGGGUUGAAUUCGGUCCUAAUAAAGCUGAAAGAAAAAUAAUGACGUCUCAAAUGAUCAAGUUGUCGAUUGAGGAAUUCA